UACGGAAGGCAGCAGUGGGGAAUAUUGCACAAUGGGCGCAAGCCUGAUGCAGCCAUGCCGCGUGUAUGAAAAAGGCCUUCGGGUUGUAAAGUACUUUCAGUCGUGAGGAAGGUGUUAAGGUUAAUAACCUUAGCAAUUGACGUUAGCGACAGAAGAAGCACCGGCUAACUCCGUGCCAGCAGCCGCGGUAAUACGGAGGGUGCGAGCGUUAAUCGGAAUUACUGGGCGUAAAGGGCACGCAGGCGGUUAAUUAAGUUGGAUGUGAAAUCCCCGGGCUUAACCUGGGAAUGGCAUUCAAGACUGGUUAGCUAGAGUCUUGUAGAGGGGGUUAGAAUUCCAUGUGUAGCGGUGAAAUGCGUAGAGAUGUGGAGGAAUACCGGUGGCGAAGGCGGCCCCUGGACAAAGACUGACGCUCAUGUGCGAAAGCGUGGGGAGCAAACAGGGAUUAGAUACCCG
rnacentral:rRNA from 1 species